AGGCAUAUAACGUGCGGCUGACUGGAGCAACGUGUUGUUGCCUUGGGCAGUGCAUCAUGCUGGUUAGGCAGUGUGUUGUUGCCUUGGGCAGUGCAUGCCGCUGGUUGGGCAGCAUGUUGUUGCCUUGGGCAGUGUGUGCCGCUGGUUGGGCAGUGCGUGCUGCUGGUUGGGCAGCGAGUCGUCGACAGCUUGAGCGGUGUGCUGUUGUCGCUUAGGCAACGUGUCGUUGUCGUUUGGGUGGCAUGCCUCUAUUUUUUGUGUUGUUGUCACGUUGUGUCAUCCGUCCGUCAGUCACAUCCAUCAGUUGUCACAUUACUUUUUCUAUUGAUUUUCUCUCUCCUCACCAGAUUUUGCCACUUGACACAAAUUCGACCAUCCCCAUUUUUUAUAAAUAGGGACCCUCCCUUUACCAUUUCCUCAUCACUUCCAUUUUAUUCUUCUAUCCUCCAAGAGUUUAGAGAGAGG
rnacentral:lncRNA from 1 species